GAGAACCAAGAGAUCCAUUGUUGAAAGUUUUGAAGUUGUUUUCUACUAAAAGAAAUCUUGUGUUGACUGAAUUAGUUUAAAAAAAUAUUUGUUUGUGUUUGCAUCCACUGGGAGAACUCCCUCCCGAAAGAGAGCGUUCCCCCAACGAACAAAAGAAUAGUAGUAAAGUAAACUCCACUGUGUGUAGUAAUUAGAAAGUGUCGAGUCGUGUGAUAAAACACCUCCUUUGGAAUAGAGAGAUCCACGCACACUCCCAGGUCUUUGUCGGCUCCCUCCCCCCACUGCAGAACACCCACCAACCGCGCACUUAAGCGCAGGCAGGAGAAAUAGCAUUCACAGCAGAGAAAAUAUUUUAGGAGCCUCCUGAGUGUCUACACUGGUCCUCCCCAGAGAUGUCUCUCUCCGAGCUCAGACAAAUCAAUUAAAUUUCUUUAAUGAUCCUU
rnacentral:misc_RNA from 1 species